UCAUUUCUGUAAAAUUUCCGUCCAUGGAAUUCUUCAUCUCUGUAAUCCUUCCUCGAUUCAGCGGAAAUUUAGGAAAUCAUUUCCAUUAUGGCUAUCAACUGUUCUUCCUUGCUCCUGGUUAUCUGUAUUCAAAGGGAUUCCAAAUUGUGACAUCAAUAUGAUGAUGAAUGAUGAAAAAAAUAUAAACAUUCAUGAGUCUACCGAGAAAAUGUGGAGCAUCACUCAACAAUCUAUCAAAGAUUCUAAGAAUAUGCUGCUAUUAAAAACUUAGUGAUUUUACUGGUGAUUUAAUGUGCCCAGCAGCUUGGGACAGUUUCUUCUGUUGGCCUCCAACGCCGGCCGGAUCCUCCAUUUCAUUCCCCUGCCAUGGUAUUUUUCCUUUUCUCCAACCAUCGGAGUCCACGUCAGAGCAAUCAGUUGCUGUGGCCUAUAGAAGAUGCGGGGAAGAUGGGUUAUGGUCUCAAGGUACGUGGACCAAUUACAGCGAAUGCGAAAAGCUGGACAUUAGGGUAAGAA